rnacentral:misc_RNA from 1 species
GUGAAUCAUCAAAUCUUUGAACGCAAAUUGCACUCUCCUCGGAGAGUAUGCCUGUUUGAGGGUCAGCCUAUAAAAAAUCUCCAUCGUGGCUGUUUCGCGGUGGCGCUCGUCGGAAAGUUGGUCAUCUUAGGUCUUUGGGUGUUAAGCGACUUAAAAUUUUCUGUUUGGUUCCAUGAUCGGUCCUAAGAUUUAUUUCUUUAUACGUUUAUGG